rnacentral:rRNA from 1 species
AACGAACGCUGGCGGCAGGCUUAACACAUGCAAGUCGAACGCAUCCUUCGGGGUGAGUGGCAGACGGGUGAGUAACGCGUGGGAACGUGCCCUUCAGUUCGGGAUAACCCAGGGAAACUUGGGCUAAUACCGGAUACGUGCGAGAGCAGAAAGAUUUAUCGCUGAAGGAUCGGCCCGCGUCUGAUUAGCUAGUUGGUGGGGUAAUGGCCAACCAAGGCGACGUUCAGUAGCCGGUCUGAGAGGAUGAUCAGCCACAUUGGGACUGAAAAACGGCCCGAACUCCUACGGGAGGCAGCAGUGGGGAAUAUUGGACAAUGGGCGCAAGCCUGAUCCAGCCAUGCCGCGUGAGUGAUGAAGGCCUUAGGGUUGUAAAGCUCUUUCGUCCGGGACGAUAAUGACGGUACCGGAAGAAGAAGCCCCGGCUAACUUCGUGCCAGCCGCCGCCGUAA